CAGGGCAUCCAUCCAUCCCCAGGCUCGAAGCAAACAGAGGCGAGGCAGAGCCCUUUCCUGGCGGCGGCCGACGGCAAGGUGACUCGCCCCAAAUCCCCCAAAUCAAAUCGUCCCUGGCGGCGGUCGACGGCAACGGUGGGUCCUUGCGGUAUGCUGACUUGUUCCUUCCAGCGGAGGGGGCGGCGGAAGGCGGAGGGCGCGUUCCUUGCGGCAGUGGCAGGCGUGUCCCUUGCGGCGGCGGUGACAGCGCGGCUGCGCGGGGGAGGGGAAGCAGCAGCGGCUGCGGUAGCAGAGGGGCGUCCGCCGCGUGGUCAACAUACCUAGGCUGCUGCAACAGACGCCUAGGGUUCCUCCUUCCCAAACCCCAACCAGCUAUGAAGCAACCGACGCUCCAAGCUCGCCAGAUCUCGCUCUCGUCGUCAACACCAGCAAAGGCUGCAACCUAUGGGACCUGGAUGAACAGUUCAGCCACCAAGAAAUGCCCCACAAUCUCAAGGACAACAUUCUGGGAGUAACUCAGCAUCAAAAUCUAGGAAGGUGCGUGGGAUAAAUAAGGGAAAGGGCUUGGAGCGUUUGAUCAAAAGGGCAGGUCAUCCACUAAACUUGACCAUUUCUGAAGAGAGAAGACCUAUUGGAGAAAACAAUGAACUACUUUCCAGAGAGAUUGGACUUCUUACACGGCACCAUGCACCUAUCCAACGUGUCGGGUGGCAUAGUCUUACUGAGGAUGAUAAGGACCCAUUGUAUGAACUUCUAAAGCUUAAGUUCAAUCUUGAUUUCACCCAAGAUCAUAUCAAAGGCUGUGUGGAUCUGCUAUUCUCUUCAAGCUAAAAAAGUUUCCGUCACAAGUAUUAUGAGCAUUAUGUAAAAUAUGGUGAUGAUGCUAGAAGCAAUCCAUAUCCCCCCCUUAUUGAUAAUAGAGUUGGAGACUGGAUUUGGCUCUGUGAUCAUUUUGAAACAGAAGAAUUUAAGAAACGGUCCACAAUUGGGAAGGCUAACCGCUCAAACCUACCUUAUGUUCACAAGAAGGGAACAAAGUCAUUUGUAGCGGUUCAACAUGAAUUAAAUUGUGGCUAUAUCAGACUAUACAAGGAGUGUUGCUCUAGUGAUAAGAAGGGAUGGGCAUCAGAAGAUGCCAGGAAUAAACAUGUUCUCUGGUCUCAGAUGGAUGGUCAAGGAGGUGAAGCAACUUUGGAGAGGUACACUGUUUGCAUUGCUAUUACUAGGACAUAGGCCCGUGCGUUGCAACGGGAGAUCAAAACCUUGACUCAUAUCCUCUAUUUCAACAUGGCAUCCCACCCGUGUUGUUGCAUAUCCUCAUUCACGUCCUCUUUCUCUUUGUAAAUGUACAACAAGGAGAUGAGUCCGCAUAUGCCCCUGCAUUGCAAUGGAAUAAAAAAAUCACACGCCCCUAACCCUUAUAAGCAUGGCUCGAGACGACCCUUCCACAAACCCUACACGUGUCGACAUCCUCUAUUUUAACAAGACACCCAAUCUGUGCCGUUGUUUAUCUUCCUUCCCGGCCUCACAGAAUAUGGCCACAACAAAUUUAUGUCAAUAGAAUGGAUGCAAUAUAUUUUAUACUAUCUAAUUAUUUUCUAUGCAAAACAAACUUAUUUACAUCUACAUUAAUGGUAAAGAUAUUCUCAAAAGACAUGCAUUUUUGGACUGGGCUUCUCGAUUACCAUCAACGUUUUAAAUGUGGGUUCUUUAUCAUCAUUCCUGGAGAUGACUUUGAUACACAAAUUAUGAUAUCAAUGAUCACUUGCUUGGAGAUGUCGCCCUCAAACCAGUAGCUUUCUUUAGCAUUCAUCUCGUGAACUUGAUGCUAUCUAUCACAUUCUCAGGAACGAUGGCAUUGCUUAUCAAUUUGAGAAUAUAAUCAGUUUUAGUUGUACAAAUUCAGACCAUCCUUCUAUGAUUUCCUUCACAACUUUCAGGUAAAAGGAUUUUAAUGCACACUGUAUCAUGCAUAUGAGUUGAAUAAAAUUUUGCGCUGCAAUGUGCCUUCCUUGUGAAAAAAAUGUGACAUGUAAUGCGACAUCACCGUUGAAAAACAUGAUCCUUAUGUACACUUUUUGUUCAUAAGAGGAAAGAGUGAAAAUAUCAUAAUCGGUUUUAGUGUUAUCCUAAUUUCUAACAUUACGUCAAAAAGUGUAUAUAAUUCUAUUACCCUUAUUUAUAUAUGUACAUUUUUUGUUAGCUGCAUAUUAAUUUUUGAUGAAAAUCAAUGCUAUCAAUGAAAUAAAGUUUUGUGAUAAAUUGAGUCCGCAAACUUAGGUGUCUCCAUAAUGAAAAGCUAGGAGUCCGCAAUAUUUUCAUUUGAUCGAGGUUUCAUUUUAUCCAUUUGCUUCGUACGACCAUAAUUUCCUUUAAUUACAAGAGAUGGCAUGGUCUUCCCUUCCAGCCCCAUUUCAUGCGAGUUAACUGAUAUUCACACCGCAACUUUUUUAUUGUGUCCUUUUCUUUUUUUCUUUCUUAUAUUACGAAAUUCCUUUGCUUUCAAGGUUAAAUAGGACCCACACUUCAGGCUCUGUUCGUUAUUCUUGAUGUCUUUUUUAUUCUGUGACAACUCGUGGGCUAUAUAAGCUGGUAAAAUAUCAUGUAAAAAAGCGAGGUGGUACUGUUUAAAUGCAUAAUGAGCGGUGUAGUUAACAUAAACAGGAGCUAGCUUAGCUGGUUGUAGCCUGAAGGAAGCAAAUAGCAGGUCGUGGGCUCAAUCCUUUGUGCAAGUGGCAAUUUUUUGCGAAUCCUUCUUCUAAACACAAGAGCAGGCCCAUGGCCCAGUACAUUUGUGACGUAUACCAACAAAAGGCCCAGAGCAGCGCUGGCGUACAUAGACCAAAAAAGCAGCGGUAAGGUAUAUGAAUCUGUUUUGUAGCAAAAAAUAGUACCACCUCGGAUACAGUAAAAAAAUAUAAAAUCACCUAAACGGACGAAACCAAGAAUAUCACCUUGCUUUAAUAGUAGGUAUAGAUAGUAGGUAUAGAUAUAGAUGUGCUUUUGAAGUAAAGUUCAUGAGCAUCUUCUAAAUUGUGCUUGGUUCUAUCUAUGUUCGCCAAUGAAAUUACCAAAGAGUGGGUUCCAUCUAAGGGUGAUUUUAUUAAUGUGUACAUACUUGCUACAACUUGACAUUUCAUAUAAAACUGCAAGCAACAUGCUGCCAGAAGCUUCGAGCAAUGUAUGGUUAAUUAGGAUAUCUUCCAGAUUAAAAAGGAAAAGAACGAAUUAGCUCAUGCUCUUGAUUCUUACUAAACUUCCUGUAACUCUGCAUGGUACUUCACAAAUUUUGUACUAUUUGGCUGUAAUGGUGCACAUUUUCUUGAAUUCAUCAAUAAAUGAACAUCAUCCAUGUCAUUUUAACUUGUUUGGCAUUUUCCAAGGUGUAGAGGACAUGUGGGGAGUGAUCGGAGCAGUGCUAAACUAGAUGCCAAAAGAGUAGUUCCUGAUUUGCAAAUUCGGCUUACAAAUACUAGAUGUCAAAUACUAGAAAAGUUCCUUCUUGGUGACCGGAUCAUAUGUUUGGAGCAGUACUAAAGUUGGUACUUUGCAAAUACUACUAGAAUAUUAUUUCCUGAUGGUACUGAAGUUGUGAAACAAAAUUCGGCUUACAAAUGUUAGCAUGUAAUGAUUGGAUCAUAAGUUUACAAAUGCUGAUUCUGAACUUUUUCCUGUUGUAUGUCUAAAAUUCUAAGAUUUCUUGCA